GAUGAACGCUGGCGGCGUGCCUAAUACAUGCAAGUCGAGCGAACGGACGAGAAGCUUGCUUCUCUGAUGUUAGCGGCGGACGGGUGAGUAACACGUGGAUAACCUACCUAUAAGACUGGGAUAACUUCGGAAAACCGGAGCUAAUACCGGAUAAUAUUUUGAACCGCAUGGUUCAAAAGUGAAAGACGGUCUUGCUGUCACUUAUAGAUGGAUCCGCGCUGCAUUAGCUAGUUGAUAAGGUAACGGCUUACCAAGGCAACGAUGCAUAGCCGACCUGAGAGGGUGAUCGGCCACACUGGAACUGAGACACGGUCCAGACUCCUACGGGAGGCAGCAGUAGGGAAUCUUCCGCAAUGGGCGAAAGCCUGACGGAGCAACGCCGCGUGAGUGAUGAAGGUCUUCGGAUCGUAAAACUCUGUUAUUAGGGAAGAACAUAUGUGUAAGUAACUGUGCACAUCUUGACGGUACCUAAUCAGAAAGCCACGGCUAACUACGUG
rnacentral:rRNA from 1 species